UGAGGAAUAUUGCUCAAUGGGCGAAAGCCUGAAGCAGCAACGCCGCGUGCGCGAUGAAGGUCUUCGGAUCGUAAAGCGCUUUUGAGAGGGACGAGAUAGGACGGUACCUCUUGAAUAAGUCACGGCUAACUACGUGCCAGCAGCCGCGGUAAAACGUAGGUGGCAAGCGUUAUCCGGAUUCACUGGGCGUAAAGCGAGUGCAGGUGGUUGCGUAAGUUGGAUGUGAAAUUUCCCGGCUUAACCGGGAAGGGUCAUUCAAUACUGCGCGACUUGAGGGCAGAAGAGGGGGGUGGAAUUGCCGGUGUAGUGGUGAAAUGCGUAGAUAUCGGCAGGAACACCUGUGGCGAAAGCGGCCCCCUGGUCUGCUCCUGACACUCAGACUCGAAAGCUAGGGUAGCGAACGGG
rnacentral:rRNA from 1 species